UGGCCACAGUAAGCGUCCUUGCAUCCUGUGGAAUGAGCCAAGGAUAAGCCUGGUCCCUGGCAGGUUGCAGGAUUCUAUCCUGAGAUACAUCCCCUCCUCUUUCCCCUAUUCUAGCCCACAGGGGCCUCUCCUCCAGGCAGGAAACAUGAUCUCCUUUUGAC
ensembl:misc_RNA